AGGGUUUCUCUGUGGCUUUGGAGG
rnacentral:piRNA from 1 species